AAGCAAAUGAUGAAAAAAUCAAUAUCUGAAUGAGAACAACAUUAACAAAGAAACCACUGAUGUGC